AACGCACAUUGCGCCCGCCAGUAUUCUGGCGGGCAUGCCUGUUCGAGCGUCAUUUCAACCCUCAAGCCUCGCUUGGUGUUGGGGAUCGGCUCCUUCCGGGAGCCGCCCCCGAAAUCUAGUGGCGAUCAUACCAACGCAUCCUUAGCGUAGUAACAUACCCUCGCUCUGGAACGUGGUGCGGUCACGCCGUUAAACACCCCACUUCUCAAGGUUGACCUCGGAUCAGGUAGGAAUACCCGCUGAACUUAA
rnacentral:misc_RNA from 1 species